GGGGUGCGAGCGAUCUUUCGCCGUGCUCGCGCCGCUUCGCUCCUAGCGGCUUGUGCCGUCUCUUUCAGCGAGACGUGGCGACGUGACGAGCCCUCUGCCGACCGUUCGACGUGACGCUGAUCCAUCCUUUACAUUCUGAAGGGCCGUGCUUAGGGUCUCCCUGGAACCUUCUCUUCAAAAGAAGCGUGGCCAGCAGGGCGAGGAAGGUGAUCCUGUCCCUCUACUCUGCUGAGACCUCACGUGGAGUACUGUGUCCUGAUGUGGAGUUCUCAGUACGGGAGACGGGGAUCUGUUAGAUUACAUCUGGAGGAGGGCCACAAAAGUGAUCCCGAGGAUGGAAUGCCGCCCUCUCUGAGGACAGCUGGGAGAGCUGGAGCUGUUCAGCUUGGAGAAGAGAAGGCUGCAGAGACCUGAGAGCAGCCUUUCAGUAUCUGAAGGGGGGCUGCAAGAAAGAAAGGGACAAAGUCUUUAGAAGGGACUGUUGUGGUAAGAAAAUAUUAGGCAGUCCUAAAUGCUGACAGUAGGAAAUCGUGCAGCCUGCAUCUCAGUUUUUGAUACUAUAUUUAAAUCAAUCUCUUCAAUCUGAUUAGGAAGAUAACUCCCUCUAACGUUAUCAUACUUCCAUGCCACUAGACCUUCUGCAUUUAAGUACAAGAGAACACACAAGUACCAUAAUAGGUUUCUAGAAAAGUCCACUGAAAGCGGUGAUUGUGGAGAAAUUAGCAACCAGCAUCCAGCAGCUGAUGUCACCCAGCUAUGUAUAGAUUUACCGCCUCACGCUAGCACUGACUGCACAGUGUAUGUAUAGCUGUAUGCCAUGUGCCUGUCUUGAGACUUACCAUUACAUUCUCAGGUUCGAAAAUGUGUGAAAAAACAAGGACAAAAAACGUAGUAGGGCUACCAUCACAUCAGCAGUUUGUUUAUUGUUACAGCAAGAGAAACAUCAAGGCUUAUGUUUGCUGUACAAGGAAUGCAAGAUGAAAGUAAGUCAUCAUUGUGAGUAAUGGCAUUUCGAAGUCUGUGACUUUUGAUCCCUGGCACCUGACGUGCUGUGGCAGUUGACAUACAUACCAUCACCAGGAGCAUCGCAAGCAUUUGAUUAUCAGCUCUAUUAGUGCUCAAAACAUUUAUCAAAGCUUAUAUACUUCAUUCAAGCAUUAUAAUAUAUAAUUUCACUGAUAAGAUUCCCCUCCAUCAGAACAAUCACAAGUUUGGAACCUGCAAGGAGAAGAGGAACAAAACACGAGCAAUGAUUACUGUGUUAUAUUUUUUCACAUGAAAGAAGAGCUCCUGGCGUUGGUAGAAAUGUGGAAUGAGCUCAAUAUGUACUUCCAGGAACAUGACCAUCACUGUUUUGUAGGCAGACAACAACCAAACUGAGUGUUGGACACACAAACAUUGAUAAUCCUGUCUCAUCUUUCUACAUCAUUCUGCUUGUGAAACACCACACUGAAAGCAAUGGUCAGCAGAACUUACAUGCAGAAGGGAUGCACUGAUAUGGAACUUCAUCUGAUAGCUCACGCUGCUGCAAAAGGAAAAACAACUGAUGAAGAGUUCACGACUGCUCUGCAGUCGGUUUGAAAAUAACAAGCUAUCGAGCAACAGAAGAUGGGUGAAGGCUUUAGAACUUCAAAAGCAAAAGGGCUUAUCGCUGUGUAUACAUGGCUGCGGACUUGCACAAUCAGUUAAACAGUAAAUCAGUUAAAUAGCUGUAUUUAAACACUGUCUUCAUGUCUUGGAGUCCUGUUGUUCCUCUGUGCUGCUGUACUCUCCCAGCAACAUUUCUGUGUUCACGCAGCAGUGCUGGUCUCUCUCUGCUCCUGAAGGAACAGGACACACGCUUUGCUCCGUGUCCCUUCAUUACUUCUAAUGCUUUCUGUCACUGACAGUUGCUGUUUUGGAGCACAGUGAAACAUAAUUAUCUCUUCCUCGGCAAUUUCACACCAACAGAAAACCAACAACAACAAAUAACUCCUCCAUUUCAUAAAAGGUUUUGGAUCAGAGUGGUUUGGAAGUUCCAUAGCAGCUUUCUUUUCAUCGUGCUCUCUAUGUACUCUAUUAACAAUUACACAGUAGUGUAAGAAGAAUUACUGAAACACAAUCAAAUUUCUUUAAAGAGAAAUGUGACUGUUUUGCACAAUACACUGUCAUAACGGCUGCAUUUCAGGCUGAAAUUUCCUAGAGACUUCCCAUAGAAGGAAUUAAAUUAGUUUUG